rnacentral:rRNA from 1 species
GGGUUGUGAGGUUAAGCGACUAAGCGUACACGGUGGAUGCCCUGGCAGUCAGAGGCGAUGAAGGGCGUGCUAAUCUGCGAUAAGCGCCGGUAAGGUGAUAUGAACCGUUAUAACCGGCGAUACCCGAAUGGGGAAACCCAGUGUGAUUCGUCACACUAUCAUUAACUGAAUCCAUAGGUUAAUGAGGCGAACCGGGGGAACUGAAACAUCUAAGUACCCCGAGGAAAAGAAAUCAACCGAGAUUCCCCCAGUAGCGGCGAGCGAACGGGGAGGAGCCCAGAGCCUGAAUCAGCAUGUGUGUUAGUGGAAGCGUCUGGAAAGGCGCGCGAUACAGGGUGACAGCCCCGUACACAAAAGCGCAUGUGCUGUGAGCUCGAUGAGUAGGGCGGGACACGUGGUAUCCUGUCUGAAUAUGGGGGGACCAUCCUCCAAGGCUAAAUACUCCUGACUGACCGAUAGUGAACCAGUACCGUGAGGGAAAGGCGAAAAGAACCCCGGCGAGGGGAGUGAAAAAGAACCUGAAACCGUGUACGUACAAGCAGUGGGAGCACAGGUUUACCUGUGUGACUGCGUACCUUUUGUAUAAUGGGUCAGCGACUUAUAUUCUGUAGCAAGGUUAACCGUAUAGGGGAGCCGGAGGGAAACCGAGUCUUAACCGGGCGUUAAGUUGCAGGGUAUAGACCCGAAACCCGGUGAUCUAGCCAUGGGCAGGUUGAAGGUUGGGUAACACUAACUGGAGGACCGAACCGACUAAUGUUGAAAAAUUAGCGGAUGACCUGUGGCUGGGGGUGAAAGGCCAAUCAAACCGGGAGAUAGCUGGUUCUCCCCGAAAGCUAUUUAGGUAGCGCCUCGUGAAUUCAUCUCCGGGGGUAGAGCACUGUUUCGGCUAGGGGGCCAUCCCGGCUUACCAACCCGAUGCAAACUGCGAAUACCGGAGAAUGUUAUCACGGGAGACACACGGCGGGUGCUAACGUCCGUCGUGAAGAGGGAAACAACCCAGACCGCCAGCUAAGGUCCCAAAGUCAUGGUUAAGUGGGAAACGAUGUGGGAAGGCCCAGACAGCCAGGAUGUUGGCUUAGAAGCAGCCAUCAUUUAAAGAAAGCGUAAUAGCUCACUGGUCGAGUCGGCCUGCGCGGAAGAUGUAACGGGGCUAAACCAUGCACCGAAGCUGCGGCAGCGAACGUAUCACUUAAAGCGAUUCAGCGGGUUACGAUUGACGGAGCGAAGCGACGUCAAAGCGUAUACAAAGUCGAGUCGGUUUAAGGAUACGUUCGUUGGGUAGGGGAGCGUUCUGUAAGCCUGUGAAGGUGGCCUGUGAGGGUUGCUGGAGGUAUCAGAAGUGCGAAUGCUGACAUAAGUAACGAUAAAGCGGGUGAAAAGCCCGCUCGCCGGAAGACCAAGGGUUCCUGUCCAACGUUAAUCGGGGCAGGGUGAGUCGACCCCUAAGGCGAGGCCGAAAGGCGUAGUCGAUGGGAAACGGGUUAAUAUUCCCGUACUUGGUGUUACUGCGAAGGGGGGACGGAGAAGGCUAUGUUGGCCGGGCGACGGUUGUCCCGGUUUAAGCGUGUAGGUGUGUGUUCCAGGUAAAUCCGGUUCACUUUAACACUGAGGCGUGAUGACGAGGCACUACGGUGCUGAAGCAACAAAUGCCCUGCUUCCAGGAAAAGCCUCUAAGCAUCAGGUAACAUCAAAUCGUACCCCAAACCGACACAGGUGGUCAGGUAGAGAAUACCAAGGCGCUUGAGAGAACUCGGGUGAAGGAACUAGGCAAAAUGGUGCCGUAACUUCGGGAGAAGGCACGCUGACACGUAGGUGAAGUGAUUUACUCAUGGAGCUGAAGUCAGUCGAAGAUACCAGCUGGCUGCAACUGUUUAUUAAAAACACAGCACUGUGCAAACACGAAAGUGGACGUAUACGGUGUGACGCCUGCCCGGUGCCGGAAGGUUAAUUGAUGGGG